rnacentral:pre_miRNA from 1 species
ACGCAGACGUCCGGGUUUCGUGACAGGCGAGCCGUUCGUAAAACUUGGUUCGUUGUCGACGAAACCUGCACGAUCUGCUA